CCAGGACUCACGUUUGCUGGAGCUGCUGCAGUACAGCCCCUGUCAUUUCCCCAGGCAACUGACCCUGGGGAACAAAUGAAGGAACAGUCCACUACUGCAGCACAUCAUGUAAAGGAAAAUUGCUAUUGAGGCAGGAAGUCAUACAGAAAAUGCAAAGGCCACUGUGCAGUGCUUCCCAUCCUGCUUUAUAUCUGUUGUGACAAGGUUCUUGGGUUUGGAUUUGAGACUGUCUACAGUUUUUCUGCAAAGCAUGACUUACUGUGAUCAAGAUGGAGAUUUGGCCAAAUCUGUAAUUCCAACCAUCUCCUUACCAGCCAUCUCAAGCUACUGCUUCAUUCCUGCUGAGCUGAACUGGCCACAAGAGAGCUUCUCCCAACCAGCCCAUGAGGCAGAGCAAAUCAGCAAUCCAGGCAGAUGCAUUUCUGUAUAGUACUUCUGCACGCUUAGUCUCUUGACCCUGAAACACAGAUAUGCUGCAAAGUAGAAUUAUGUUAUGGUUCCAAGAAACCCAGAUCUUCCUGAGGCAGGACAUUGAGGGCAGCUGAGCUGUGGUAUGGCUGAAUCCUUUACAAGUUUCAGAUGAUUUCAGAUUUCUCUGGAGUUAUUUCAAUCACCUGAUAAAAGACAGAACCUCAGGUGUUCUCAUUUGGACUUUCUUUGUUCCAUGCUUUCCCCUCUACAAUCCCUUGAUCUUUGGCCAGCACUGAAGAGCCAGCUCUGGGAAGCUGGUGGCUGAUGCCAGACUUCAUAAAUCUUCCCACUGAAGUCUACUGAGCACCAAGGACUACGAAAACUCGGGCCAAACAGUCAAGAGAUCAGAAAACCUUGAUGCCUCAAGAUGUUUUUGAAUGCCUGAAAUGCUUGGGUGUGUCCGUGGUGGGAAGGGCAGGUCAGGCCCUGUCCAGGAGAGACAGUGAAAUGCUCCAGCCCAGAGCCUGGCAGAGCUGUCCAGCUGAUAGCUAGAUCUGUGGGUUUUUGUACCUUUUCUGCCUUUCUCUCUCUUUUUCUUCUAAUUCUCUUUUCAUGGAACAUUUUGGGUGACUUAACAUCUUAUGGGAUUAAAGGUUUAUAGUUAUAUGGGUUGAGCUAUAGGUUAAUAAGUGUUUUAUAUUGAAUUUGGUGUUGUAUUUAAACCUUUGCUAAAUUUCCUUGAUUUUCUUUAUUUUGCCAGUAACCUUUUGUGUAAUUUUGACAUCUUGAGUAUGUCUGGUUGGUUUUUUCUCCUGUGCACCAACCCAGAGUACAGGAACCUCAGUUUGCUCCCUGAUACUUGAAUGUUCUGGGGUGUUAAAAAUACUUAAUUUCCAAAUUUUACCUUGUCCAGCUUUUCAACACUAUAUCCUUUAGACAUUUGUAGAAGAAAAUGCUUCAUUAUCAGGGCACCUCUGGCUGCAAUGAGGAAAUGUUUGCUGUGACAGGGGAUUCCUUUUGAUAGCAGUUUCAAUGCAAACAUGUAAUCUGGGAUGGGGUACAUUAUUUUCACUCACCCACUGUGAAACUCAUUAGAAAAACCAUAUAUAUAUAUAUAUAUCUGUGCUGUCUCUCACAAUUUUACUGGCAGAGUUUGAGCACCAGCACAGAAUGCCACCAUCCACACUUAUUAACAUUCCUCACCUCCAGAAAUUAAUGCCAGCACCUCAACUCUCCUUGCAGCCAUCCAGUUUUAAGUAUUAAUACACCAAAUAGUUGGAAUCCACCCCUAACCUCCUCUUUGGAUUUAAGAACACACUAAUUCUACUGAAAGACUGACUAUACCUUUUUUUUAAACAUCCCUCGAGCUUUGAAGGCAGCAGAACAUAUAUCCCAGUUCUGACUGCUGGAGCUUUGCAUUAAUCUAAGUGGCCAAGAAGAUGAAACCAGUGUAAUAUGAUUAGCAAAAUGACAGAGAGCAGCUGAGGUGAUUAAGGGAGAGAGUUUGGUGUCCACAUGUCUCAUACUCAGCCCUAGAAUGUUGCAGACAUGAUAGUGGAUUGCUUUGAAAAAUCCUUGCAAUGUUUGUUUAUUUAAACAAGUUGCCUGUAAUAGAGCAGUUCCCUGGAAACAAGUGAGUGUUUCUUUACAUCUUUUAUCCCUCCAAGGCUGAAAUCACCUUUGAGCAAUAAUGAAGUAUUGCAGAUUGUGCUGGAUGUGGAACAAUACACAGAAGUGGCCAUUUCAUAAACCAUCUAUCUUGUAAGCACACAUUAUUACAGAAAAUUACAUCAUUUAUCUGAGUACUAGUAGCCUUUCUUGUAAUAACACUGCAUGGAAAAUCAGGUAUUCAUUCAAGUGUAUUUGUGUCACAAACACUGAAAUUUUUCUUCUAGAUUUACCGAAUAAGUUUAAGAGGUUAGAGAGAAAAGACAAGUGACUUCACAAGUUUAAGCUCCUUGGAUAAAAGAGACGUUAAUAUUUUUAGUCUUUGUUCUGGAAUUAAAUUGACAAAAUGAAUGUAAAUGCUUGUCUUUGCUAAUAUUGUGUGAUCAUGUCAUAUUUGAAUUUACAGUAUUUUUAGUAUUUAAAUUUGGCCACAGUAGGUUCACAACUGACUGCUACAGUUCUUGUUGUCUUCAAACUAUUCUUA